rnacentral:lncRNA from 1 species
GGAUGAGCUGGAUACCCUCCAGCACGUUGGUGAUGUCAUAGAUGCGCCGCUUUUGCACAUCCAGCACCUCGGCUGCCCAGUUCAGGUCCAGGACUCCAUCCUCCGACUCGCUCAGGAGGUAAAUGAACUUCUUGGUCAGGAGCCCCAGCGACGUGUCAUAGCGUGUCUUCUCCCCAGGAGACUUGGGGGCUGAGGAGGAUAAGGCCCCACUCACACACUGCUCUCGGGGAGCCAGCCUGGGGUCUCUCCACGAGUUCAGAUCCAUUCAGAAACACCUUAUCUCCCACCCUUCACCGAGAGCUGUCCAGCGCGCAGAGCACCCAGGCAGCGGAUUCUCCACUGCCACAAAGCCCUGUAGCCUCGGGGGAAGGAGACUUGCACCAGGUCUCUCCGCUAGGGUGCGCUGUCGAGACCGGAAGCCAAGGGUUGCGGACUCCCGGUUCAGAGUACCUUUCCACCAUAGCUCUGAGCAGACAGCAACAGCUCCAACAACUAAGUGCCUACUGUUGGGAGGGUCACUGCUCUGGGCACUUUCCUUAAGGGAAUACCCUACAGGGCUGUACAGAAAGCACAGACUGGUUAAGUCAUUUGUUCGUUUCACUCAGCAGACGGCAAAGUAAGAUUCAAAUCCAGGCAGGCUCCAGUUUUCCUGCUAAAACCAUUAUCAUCUCUCAACAAUUAUACCAGGAAUUAGGAGUUAUGGUUGGAAGGAAAGGACAAGCCUGGAUUUGAGAGCAUUUUUAUAGAUCCACACUUGCCUUUUCUUUCCAUGUGUAGCCCGAUAAUUAUCUGAGGGGAAUCAUGAACCAUCAAACAUCAAAUGGGGGCCAGGUCCAUGGAAAAGGUCCCUUUCUCAACAGGGCUGCCGUUGCGACACCACUUCUCAGCUGAAGCGAAUUAAAACCACAAGGGGACUUUUGCAAUCAAAUGACUUUAAGUCUCAUAGAAGUUGGCGUCCAAACUAGUCACGGGAACUAAGUUUUAAUCUCAGAUCCCUCAAGAAGGGGACUUGAGAACCCCUUCACACAUAGAGGCCAAGCAUUUGACACACGAACUGCUUACUCCAGUUUUGUGUUCAUGGCAGACAUUAAUAAUCGAUGUCCGGUGGGAGCCCUUACCCUCAUCCCUAAUUCCUGACAUCUACACAUUCUACCUAAACCUAUGCCCUCGUUAGGUCUCUGGGUAAAUCCAUUUAUCUCCUGGACGUACUGGCUUAAACUCCCAGGUUAACCAGAAAAAUCGCAGAGGUAGGAAUUCCCUCCACCUCAGCUUUAGAAAGGUUCUAGCCCUGUGGUUCUCACCCUUCCAAAUGCUACAGUCCUUUAAUACAGUUUCCUCCUGUUGUGGUGAUCCACAACGGUAAAAUUCUUUUUGCUUCUUCCUAACUGUAAUCUUGCUACUGUUAUGAAUCAUAAGGUAGAUAUCUGUGUUUUCUGGUGGUCCUAGGUGAGCCCAGUGAAAGAGGCAUUCGACCCCCAUGGGGGCCUUGACCCAAAGGCCGAGAACCGUUGCUCUAGCUGGACAGCCUGGAGACCUUCAGGUGGUAGACUGGAUUAUUCCAGAUUUUGCUUCCUUUGAAUCACUUAGCAGUCUGUAUGUGGGAGGCAGACCCUGCUUAGCUUCUAAUCCUCCCAGAGCUCUCUCUCUUUUAGAAAAAGGUCUGAUAAACCCAAAUAUGGAAAACUUU